rnacentral:rRNA from 1 species
CCUACGGGAGGCAGCAGUGGGGAAUAUUGCACAAUGGGGGGAACCCUGAUGCAGCGACGCCGCGUGGGUGAAGGAGUAUUUCGGUAUGUAAAGCCCUAUCAGCAGGGAAGAACAAUGACGGUACCUGACUAAGAAGCACCGGCUAAAUACGUGCCAGCAGCCGCGGUAAUACGUAUGGUGCAAGCGUUAUCCGGAUUUACUGGGUGUAAAGGGAGCGCAGGCGGCGCGUUAAGCCUGGUGUGAAAGUCCGCGGCCCAACCGCGGGACUGCAUUGGGAACUGGCGCGCUGGAGUGCCGGAGGGGUAGGCGGAAUUCCUAGUGUAGCGGUGAAAUGCGUAGAUAUUAGGAGGAACACCAGUGGCGAAGGCGGCCUACUGAACGGUGACUGACGCUGAGGCUCGAAAGCGUGGGGAGCAAACAGGAUUAGAUACCCCAGUAGUC